rnacentral:rRNA from 1 species
AUUGAACGCUGGCGGCAUGCCUUACACAUGCAAGUCGAACGGCAGCGGGGGAGAAGCUUGCUUUUCCUGCCGGCGAGUGGCGAACGGGCGAGUAAUACAUCGGAACGUGCCCUGUAGUGGGGGAUAACUAGUCGAAAGAUUAGCUAAUACCGCAUACGACCUGAGGGUGAAAGUGGGGGACCGCAAGGCCUCAUGCUAUAGGAGCGGCCGAUGUCUGAUUAGCUAGUUGGUGGGGUAAAGGCCUACCAAGGCGACGAUCAGUAGCUGAUCUGAGAGGACGAUCAGGCACACGGGGACUGAGACACGGCCCAGACUCCUACGGGAGGCAGCAGUGGGGAAUUUUGGACAAUGGGCGAAAGCCUGAUCCAGCAAUGCCGCGUGUGUGAAGAAGGCCUUCGGGUUGUAAAGCACUUUUGUCCGGAAAGAAAUGGCUCUGGUUAAUACCUGGGGUCGAUGACGGUACCGGAAGAAUAAGGACCGGCUAACUACGUGCCAGCCGCCGCGGUAAAAC